UACGAAGGGGGCUAGCGUUGUUCGGAAUUACUGGGCGUAAAGCGCGUGUAGGCGGGUCUUUAAGUCAGGGGUGAAAUGCCAAGGCUCAACCUUGGAACUGCCUUUGAUACUGGAGACCUUGAGUCCGGGAGAGGUGAGUGGAAUUGCGAGUGUAGAGGUGAAAUUCGUAGAUAUUCGCAAGAACACCAGUGGCGAAGGCGGCUCACUGGCCCGGAACUGACGCUGAGAUGCGAAAGCGUAGGGAGCAAACAGG
rnacentral:rRNA from 1 species